UGGAGGGUCUAAUAAUUACUGUGGCUGUCAUCAGACGGAAGAGGACUCAAGGGAACGAAACCCAGACGGAUGACAACGUAGCUGAUCCUGAAGAUGGUGUUUCCUACGCCUCCAUCAGCUACACCUGGAAGACCAGCAGGAAAGCCAGAGUAAGAUUUCUCAUUGGAUAAACUUGUGAUGUUU